rnacentral:rRNA from 1 species
GGCACUUUUCGGGACGCAUUGGAGGCUAGGUUGGGGCCAGCACCUCCAAAUUCCAGGUCCAUUCCAGAAUAUUAAACUUGUUGCAGAAAAAAAGCUCGUAGUUGAAAUUCUGAUUGCUCAGGUCCCCUACCUUUAACGAUUAUACUGACCCUCAUCCACUUGCAAAUAUAUGUUCGAUCUUCACCGGUUGGCAAUAUGAGGAAGCAAUUUGCCUUGAGGAAAACAGAUUGUUCCAUGGGAGGUUGUCCGGAAUGCAUUAGCAUGGAAUAAUAGAACAUGACUGAGCUCUUUUUAUUGUUUAUGGACCUUAAUUAUGAUUAAAUAGAAACAGUUCUUGGGCGUUCACACUCGGCACUCAGAG